rnacentral:rRNA from 1 species
CGAGGCAGCGACCUAAGGUAGGGUCAGCGAUUGGGGUGAAGUCGUAACAAGGUAGCCGUAGGAGAACCUGCGGCUGGAUCACCUCCUUUCUA